ACUUGCAUAUGGUUUAAAGAAUUUUAUUAUAUAGCAAUUUGUAUGUACUAACUUAUAACAUAAAACUUAUAUAUAAAAGUUAUGAAGCUUAAAUUAUGUACAAAAUUUGUUAAGCACAAAUGAACAAAUUACCUUAUAACUUAUGCUAAAAACUUGGAAACACAAAUAUUAUUAAACACAAAGAAAUUAAUUAAUCUAUAACGUACACCAAAACUUAGAAACAUAAAAGUUAUGAAAACACAAUUUAUCAUAUACGCUUAUAAAGUUAACCCAACUAGAUGAAUUCUCUCUUCAUGCAAGGUGUCCACAUCAUUCCUCAUUAAGUGACCCACUAAAUGUUCUAUCUCUUCAUGCAAGGUGUCCACAUCAUUCUCCACUAAGUCUAUGGCAUCCCAUAUUAAUUACAAAAAUAUCAUGUCAUCUAUAUCAUGUGAAAUACUUUAAAUAUUUAAUCUAUUAACAUAUAAGUCAUCUACAUAUGUUAUUUGUUUGAUCACCUAUGUCUCUAUAAUGUAAUCAAAUAUUCUAUUGUUUUUCUUCUAUUAGCUUAGCGAUUGUUUACCAGAUCUAAUACAACAAAAAUAACAUACAAGUCAAAUUCAUAUAUAUGUAUAAAAAUACAGUGACUACCUAAGAAAAUCCCGCAGCAACGCGCGGGGACCGGGAAAUUCACCUAGUAUGUACAAAAGUUAUGGAAUUUAUUCUAUAAUUAAGGUUCAUAAGUUAUUCUAUAUAACUUGGCAGCGCUGUCCAAAAAGUUUCAAUAAAAACUUGUGCUGAUAAGUUAUGUUCUGCAAAAUGUUAUAUUGUAAAAAUUUUAAUAUAUAAUUUGUGGUAAUAAGUUAUACAUGAAAGUCAUUUGUAUAAGUUAGUAACUUUCAAAAAAAAUUAUGUGUAUAACUUAGAUAUAACUCGGCGAAUGACUUAGAUGUAAAGUUAGAAAGAAGUUAUUCAUAUUUAAAACUUAGAUGUACAAACUAAUUAUCAUAAUAUAUUUGCAGAAAUGUAAAACUAUGCAUGAAAUAACUUUUAUAAAAAAAAGAAAAAUGAGAAAAUAAAAAAGAGAAAGAUGGGACGCACUUGCCGCAAACAUGCUAGUGUGUGUCGACUCGAACGUGCCAACUCUACCCAGGCAAGAGAGAAGUACAGUGCAAACGCGCGUCCGGCUGAUAGGAAGCCUCCGAACAGCCUGUUGGAUUGUUCACUAGGCUAGAAACCGAUGAACGUUCGGGGAAAUAGAAUUUGCCAGUCCAGUGGCAUGUAAUAACUAGUAUUUGUCAAAUGCGAGCUUUAUAAAUUAUAAGCUCAGUGCUGAUGUAAACUUAAGUGCUGUUAUUGUAAUGUCCUUCACAUCAGGCCAUAAGGACCAAAUCAUCAAUAUAUACAGGUGCUGGGACUCUCUCUCUCCUCCGACCACCGACAACCACCCCCCCCCCCCCCC
rnacentral:lncRNA from 1 species